AACGAACGCUGGCGGCAUGCCUAACACAUGCAAGUCGAACGCCUAUAGCAAUAUAGGAGUGGCGCACGGGUGAGUAACGCGUGGGAACCUGCCCCGAGGUGGGGGAUAACCGAUGGAAACGUCGGCUAAUACCGCAUACGUCCUAAGGGAGAAAGAUUUAUCGCCUUGGGAGGGGCCCGCGUCGGAUUAGCUAGUUGGUGGGGUAACGGCCUACCAAGGCGAUGAUCCGUAGCUGGUCUGAGAGGAUGAUCAGCCACACUGGGACUGAGACACGGCCCAGACUCCUACGGGAGGCAGCAGUGGGGAAUAUUGGACAAUGGGCGCAAGCCUGAUCCAGCAAUGCCGCGUGAGUGAUGAAGGCCUUAGGGUUGUAAAGCUCUUUCGGGCGGGGA
rnacentral:rRNA from 1 species